CACCGGCACCCCAAGUGGUAGCCACUAUUAUUGGGCCUAAAGCAUCCGUAGCCGGCUCUGUAAGUUUUCGGUUAAAUCCAUGUGCUCAACGCAUGGGCUGUCGAAAAUACUGCAUAGCUAGGGAGUGGGAGAGGUAGACGGUACUCGGUAGGAAGGGGUAAAAUCCUUUGAUCUAUCGAUGACCACCUGUGGCGAAGGCGGUCUACCAGAACACGUUCGACGGUGAGGGAUGAAAGCUGGGGGAGCAAACCGG
rnacentral:rRNA from 1 species